GCUCUCUGCGCCAAUAUGCAACCAGAAAGAAUGUUGACAUUUGCUUCUCAAGUGGCAGGUAUCGGGUGUAGGGCAUUGGGAGCAAGAGCUGGUCUUCCCCAUAUAACGGACCCUCGUUUGAGACCCUUUUUAGUGAACGAUCCCCAAAACAUGGCGACAUUGUUAUAGAA